rnacentral:rRNA from 1 species
CCACCUACGGGAGGCAGCAGUCGGGAAUAUUGCGCAAUGGAGGAAACUCUGACGCAGUGACGCCGCGUAUAGGAAGAAGGUCUUCGGAUUGUAAACUAUUGUCGUUAGGGAAGAGAAAGGACAGUACCUAAGGAGGAAGCUCCGGCUAACUACGUGCCAGCAGCCGCGGUAAUACGUAGGGAGCGAGCGUUAUCCGGAUUUAUUGGGUGUAAAGGGUGCGUAGACGGGAAAAUAAGUUAGUUGUGAAAUCCCUCGGCUCAACUGAGGAACUGCAUCAGAAACUGUUGAACUUGAGUGCAGAAGAG